CACAUGCUAGUCGAAGGUGAAAGCGAGUGCUUGCACUCGUGGAUCAGUGGCGAACGGGUGAGUAACACGUGAGUAACCUGCCCUCCACUCUGGGAUAAGCGCUGGCAAACGGCGUCUAAUACUGGAUACGACCGACCCUCGCAUGGGGUGUUGGUGGAAAGAUUUAUCGGUGGGGGAUGGACUCGCGGCCUAUCAGCUUGUUGGUGGGGUAAUGGCCUACCAAGGCGACNACGGGUAGCCGGCCUGAGAGGGCGACCGGCCACACUGGGACUGAGACACGGCCCAUACUCCUACGGGAGGCAGCAGUGGGGAAUAUUGCACAAUGGGCGAAAGCCUGAUGCAGCGACACCGCGUGAGGGAUGACGGCCUUCGGGUUGUAAACCUCUUUCAGCAGGGAAGAAGCUUUUGUGACGGUACCUGCAGAAAAGCACCGGCUAACUACGUGCCAGCAGCCGCGGUAAUACNUANGGUGCGAGCGUUGUCCGGAAUUAUUGGGCGUAAAGAGCUUGUAGGCGGUUUGUCGCGUCUGCUGUGAAAAUUCAGGGCUUAACCCUGGACGUGCAGUGGGUACGGGCAAACUAGAGUAUGGUAGGGGAGACUGGAAUGCCUGGUGUAGCGGUGGAAUGCGCA
rnacentral:rRNA from 1 species